rnacentral:rRNA from 1 species
GGUUAAGUUAGAAAGGGCGCACGGUGGAUGCCUUGACACUAGGAGUCGAUGAAGGACGGGACUAACGCCGAUAUGCUUCGGGGAGCUGUAAGUAAGCUUUGAUCCGAAGAUUUCCGAAUGGGGAAACCCACCAUACGUAAUGGUAUGGUAUCCUUAUCUGAAUACAUAGGGUAAGGAAGACAGACCCAGGGAACUGAAACAUCUAAGUACCUGGAGGAAGAGAAAGCAAAUGCGAUUUCCUGAGUAGCGGCGAGCGAAACGGAACAUAGCCCAAACCAAGAGGCUUGCCUCUUGGGGUUGUAGGACAUUCUAUACGGAGUUACAAAGGAACGAGGUAGACGAAGCGACCUGGAAAGGUCCGUCGUAGAGGGUAACAACCCCGUAGUCGAAACUUCGUUCUCUCUUGAAUGUAUCCUGAGUACGGCGGAACACGUGAAAUUCCGUCGGAAUCUGGGAGGACCAUCUCCCAAGGCUAAAUACUCCCUAGUGAUCGAUAGUGAACCAGUACCGUGAGGGAAAGGUGAAAAGCACCCCGGAAGGGGAGUGAAAGAGAUCCUGAAACCGUGUGCCUACAAAUAGUCAGAGCCCGUUAACGGGUGAUGGCGUGCCUUUUGUAGAAUGAACCGGCGAGUUACGAUCCCGUGCGAGGUUAAGCUGAAGAGGCGGAGCCGCAGCGAAAGCGAGUCUGAAUAGGGCGUUUAGUACGUGGUCGUAGACCCGAAACCAGGUGAUCUACCCAUGUCCAGGGUGAAGUUCAGGUAACACUGAAUGGAGGCCCGAACCCACGCACGUUGAAAAGUGCGGGGAUGAGGUGUGGGUAGCGGAGAAAUUCCAAUCGAACCUGGAGAUAGCUGGUUCUCCCCGAAAUAGCUUUAGGGCUAGCCUUAAGUGUAAGAGUCUUGGAGGUAGAGCACUGAUUGGACUAGGGGUCCUCAUCGGAUUACCGAAUUCAGUCAAACUCCGAAUGCCAAUGACUUAUCCUUAGGAGUCAGACUGCGAGUGAUAAGAUCCGUAGUCAAAGGGAAACAGCCCAGACCGCCAGCUAAGGUCCCAAAGUGUGUAUUAAGUGGAAAAGGAUGUGGAGUUGCUUAGACAACUAGGAUGUUGGCUUAGAAGCAGCCACCAUUUAAAGAGUGCGUAAUAGCUCACUAGUCGAGUGACUCUGCGCCGAAAAUGUACCGGGGCUAAAUACACCACCGAAGCUGCGGAUUGAUACCAAUGGUAUCAGUGGUAGGGGAGCGUUCUAAGGACAGUGAAGUCAGACCGAAAGGACUGGUGGAGUGCUUAGAAGUGAGAAUGCCGGUAUGAGUAGCGAAAGACGGGUGAGAAUCCCGUCCACCGAAUGCCUAAGGUUUCCUGAGGAAGGCUCGUCCGCUCAGGGUUAGUCAGGACCUAAGCCAAGGCCGACAGGCGUAGGCGAUGGACAACAGGUUGAUAUUCCUGUACCACCUCUUUAUCGUUUGAGCAAUGGAGGGACGCAGAAGGAUAGAAGAAGCGUGCGAUUGGUUGUGCACGUCCAAGCAGUUAGGCUGAUAAGUAGGCAAAUCCGCUUAUCGUAAAGGCUGAGCUGUGAUGGGGAAGCUCCUUAUGGAGCGAAGUCUUUGAUUCCCCGCUGCCAAGAAAAGCUUCUAGCGAGAUAAAAGGUGCCUGUACCGCAAACCGACACAGGUAGGCGAGGAGAGAAUCCUAAGGUGUGCGAGAGAACUCUGGUUAAGGAACUCGGCAAAAUGACCCCGUAACUUCGGGAGAAGGGGUGCUUUCUUAACGGAAAGCCGCAGUGAAUAGGCCCAAGCGACUGUUUAGCAAAAACACAGCUCUCUGCGAAGCCGUAAGGCGAAGUAUAGGGGUGACACCUGCCCGGUGCUGGAAGGUUAAGGAGAGGGGUUAGCGUAAGCGAAGCUCUGAACUGAAGCCCCAGUAAACGGCGGCCGUAACUAUAACGGUCCUAAGGUAGCGAAAUUCCUUGUCGGGUAAGUUCCGACCCGCACGAAAGGUGUAACGAUUUGGGCACUGUCUCAACCAGAGACUCGGUGAAAUUAUAGUACCUGUGAAGAUGCAGGUUACCCGCGACAGGACGGAAAGACCCCGUGGAGCUUUACUGUAGCCUGAUAUUGAAUUUUGGUACAGUUUGUACAGGAUAGGCGGGAGCCUUUGAAACCGGAGCGCUAGCUUCGGUGGAGGCGCUGGUGGGAUACCGCCCUGACUGUAUUGAAAUUCUAACCUACGGGUCUUAUCGACCCGGGAGACAGUGUCAGGUGGGCAGUUUGACUGGGGCGGUCGCCUCCUAAAGUGUAACGGAGGCGCCCAAAGGUUCCCUCAGAAUGGUUGGAAAUCAUUCGUAGAGUGCAAAGGCAUAAGGGAGCUUGACUGCGAGACCUACAAGUCGAGCAGGGACGAAAGUCGGGCUUAGUGAUCCGGUGGUUCCGCAUGGAAGGGCCAUCGCUCAACGGAUAAAAGCUACCCCGGGGAUAACAGGCUUAUCUCCCCCAAGAGUCCACAUCGACGGGGAGGUUUGGCACCUCGAUGUCGGCUCAUCGCAUCCUGGGGCUGUAGUCGGUCCCAAGGGUUGGGCUGUUCGCCCAUUAAAGCGGUACGCGAGCUGGGUUCAGAACGUCGUGAGACAGUUCGGUCCCUAUCCGUCGUGGGCGUAGGAAAUUUGAGAGGAGCUGUCCUUAGUACGAGAGGACCGGGAUGGACGCACCGCUGGUGUACCAGUUGUUCUGCCAAGGGCAUAGCUGGGUAGCUAUGUGCGGAAGGGAUAAGUGCUGAAAGCAUCUAAGCAUGAAGCCCCCCUCAAGAUGAGAUUUCCCAUAGCGUAAGCUAGUAAGAUCCCUGAAAGAUGAUUAGGUUGAUAGGUUCGAGGUGGAAGCAUGGUGACAUGUGGAGCUGACGAAUACUAAUAGAUCGAGGACUUAACCAU